AAGUCGUAACAAGGUUUCCGUAGGUGAACCUGCGGAAGGAUCAUUAUCGGGAGUGCCCUCGUGGCUUAACCUGCAACCCUAUGUUUUUAAAACCCUUGUUUCUUUGGCGGGUUCGCCCGUCAGAAGAAUUCUCAAACUCGUUGUAAACGUGUCAUCUGAAUAACCAUAAAAAUAAAUUAAAACUUUCAACAACGGAUCUCUUGGUUCUGGCAUCGAUGAAGAACGCAGCGAAAUGCGAUAAGUAAUGUGAAUUGCAGAAUUCAGUGAAUCAUCGAAUCUUUGAACGCAUAUUGCGCCCUUUGGCAUUCCGAAGGGCAUGCCUGUUCGAGCGUCAUUACACCCCUCAAACUUCGCUGUUUGAUGUUGGGCAGUGCCUGUAGGCAUGCCUAAAAGUCAGCGACGGUUUCAGCCAACCUCAGACGUACAAGUAUCGUUAUAGGGGGCGGUUGGGGCCUGUCCUUAACUAAAUAUCUAAAUGUUGACCUCGGAUCAGGUAGGAAUACCCGCUGAACUUAAGCAUAUCAGUAAGCGGAGGAAAAGAAACCAACAGGGAUUGCCUCAGUAACGGCGAGUGAAGCGGCAACAGCUCAAAUUUGAAAUCUGGCUCUUUGGGCCCGAGUUGUAAUUUGUAGAGGAUGUUUCGGGUAAGAUCUAGGUCUAAGUUCCUUGGAACAGGGCGUCAUAGAGGGUGAGAAUCCCGUACGUGACCGAGGAUCGCACCCAUGUGAAACUCCUUCGACGAGUCGAGUUGUUUGGGAAUGCAGCUCAAAAUGGGUGGUAAAUUUCAUCUAAAGCUAAAUAUUGGCCAGAGACCGAUAGCGCACAAGUAGAGUGAUCGAAAGAUGAAAAGCACUUUGAAAAGAGAGUUAAACAGUAUGUGAAAUUGUUGAAAGGGAAGCGCUUGCAACCAGACUUGUUUGGCGGGUUCAACCCCCUUUUCGGGCGGUGUAUUUCCCGUCAUCAGGCCAGUAUCAGUUUGGGUGGAUGGUUAAAGGCCCCGGGAAUGUGAUACUCUUCGGGGUAUGUUAUAGCCCGGGGUGUAAUGCUUCCUACCCGGACUGAGGUACGCGCUUCGGCUCGGAUACUGGCGUAAUGGUUGUAAGCGACC
rnacentral:rRNA from 1 species